GACGAACGCUGGCGGCGUGCCUAAUACAUGCAAGUUGAGCGCCGAAGGUUGGUACUUGUACCAACUGGAUGAGCAGCGAACGGGUGAGUAACGCGUGGGGAAUCUGCCUUUGAGCGGGGGACAACAUUUGGAAACGAAUGCUAAUACCGCAUAAAAACUUUAAACACAAGUUUUAAGUUUGAAAGAUGCAAUUGCAUCACUCAAAGAUGAUCCCGCGUUGUAUUAGCUAGUUGGUGAGGUAAAGGCUCACCAAGGCGAUGAUACAUAGCCGACCUGAGAGGGUGAUCGGCCACAUUGGGACUGAGACACGGCCCAAACUCCUACGGGAGGCAGCAGUAGGGAAUCUUCGGCAAUGGACGAAAGUCUGACCGAGCAACGCCGCGUGAGUGAAGAAGGUUUUCGGAUCGUAAAACUCUGUUGGUAGAGAAGAACGUUGGUGAGAGUGGAAAGCUCAUCAAGUGACGGUAACUACCCAGAAAGGGACGGCUAACUACGUG
rnacentral:rRNA from 1 species